rnacentral:lncRNA from 10 species
CUAUAAAGGGAUGACGCAAGGAGUUCCUUUGUGCUGAUGGAACAGUUCUAUAUGAUUAUGAUGAUUACGAUGUUGAUUAUAACAUUUGACUUUAUGUUGGCCAGCACAGGAUGUGAUUGUGCGCAACUUAAUCAAUGUUCCUGAAAUAGAUACAAGGUGAACGAUAGAAUUAAGUAUACAUUCAUAAUGACAAUCAUUAAGGAACUUUUUGUGUGUACAGAAACUAAUUUUAGAAUUUGGCACAUUUGUUUGACAGCGUUUCAUUAAACAUGUUUCAUGUCAGAGCUCUUUGUUCACUUUACACAAUUUCCUGGAUAAAAGUGUCAUAGAAGGUAAGAUGAUUCUUUGAUGGAAAUAUUUCCAUAUGCCAAAGAGGGAAAAGUUCUGAAAAUUGUGCCUAGUUAAAAAAGUGUCUAAAUUAUGAAGGCUGCGAUGUGCUAUACAUUUUAAGAAUGUAAAUAAUCCCCAAAUUCAUUGAUACAACGUAUAUUUGGAGCUUACUAAGAAUAACAGAAUAUGCCAUAUGCUAGAGACAGAAAAGUUAAUGAGACCU